rnacentral:rRNA from 1 species
ACUCCUACGGGAGGCAGCAGUGAGGAAUAUUGCGCAAUGGGCGAAAGCCUGACGCAGCGACGCCGCGUGGGGGAAGAAGGUUUUCGGAUUGUAAGCCCCUUUUAGGAGGAAAGAUGGGGUGGGUAACCACCUGGACGGUACCUCCAGAAAAAGCCACGGCUAACUUCGUGCCAGCAGCCGCGGUAAUACAAAGGUGGCGAGCGUUGUUCGGAUUUACUGGGCGUAAAGAGCACGUAGGCGGUUUAGUAAGCCCCUUGGGAAAGCUCCGGGCUCAACCCGGAAAGGUCGAGGGGGACUGCUAAGCUAGAGGGCGGGAGAGGAGCGCGGAAUUCCCG